UUACUCUAAGUCGUUAGAAUCUUCCCUGGUGCCCCAGUGACCUUGAAAAUAGCCCCAACAAGCAAGUCUGUCUUCAUGCUACCCACAGAGCUCAGAGUUAUAGUACUUGUUGCUGUCUGCCUGAGGGUCUCAGCCUCCAAGUGCUGUUUGAAGGCUGUGACACCAUCAGGCAUUCCUGAUGCUGCCAUUGCUAGCUAGUGUUGCAGACAACAGCCCUAGCAACAAGCUAGUAACCCAGCGCAUGGAAAUGGUAUCUGACUUCUAGAGUCUGGAGCAACAGGCUUGGAGCUGGCUGGUGACCUGUCUGUAUCAGAGACAUUUCCCCUUGUCUACCCACAAUAGAAAGAGCCCAGCCAGUUAUUGGUAACACAAGGAAUGGAAUCAGUCAACAUGAACAAACCUGGAGGUGAAUUUCCAUCCAGCAAUUCCAGGUAAGAAGUCACCUUAAUCUCAUCUUACCAGAUCACCCAGCUGAGCUACCAGAGCGGGGACAUGAUAAAGGAGUGUGCCUGGGAGCCGUUGUGCUGAAGUUCACUCAUCAUUCAGCCAGAGGAGGUGAUUAAGGGGGCAGGAAGCACUCAUCUAAUCGUGAUUGGUUAGAACAAAGCAGAUGUCUGUCCAGCAACCAUGGUUGACAUCAUUCCGGAGGACCAUUACCCAUGGAUUAUCACAGAAUUGUUAACUUAGGGAUCCUGCUGUUGGAAAAACAGCCUGAGCUACCA
rnacentral:lncRNA from 1 species